UACAGAGGUCUCAAGCGUUGUUCGGAUUCAUUGGGCGUAAAGGGUGCGUAGGCGGCGCGGUAAGUCGGGUGUGAAAUCUCGGAGCUUAACUCCGAAACUGCAUUCGAUACUGCCGUGCUUGAGGACUGGAGAGGAGACUGGAAUUUACGGUGUAGCGGUGAAAUGCGUAGAUAUCGUAAGGAGGACCAGUGGCGAAGGCGGGUCUCUGGACAGUUCCUGACACUGAGGCACGAAGGUCAGGGGAGCAAACGGG
rnacentral:rRNA from 1 species